AUCAAGUGUCGUAAGGGUAUUUAGUGGAUGCCUAGGCAUGCACAGGCGAUGAAGGACGUGAUACGCUGCGAAAAGCCGUGGGGAGCUGCGAAUAAGCUUUGAUCCAUGGAUCUCC
rnacentral:rRNA from 1 species